AUAUCCUGGUAUUGGGACAUCAUAGGCAACAGCAGUUAUAUCUUCUCCGCCAACCCAUUCCUUUGACCCAUCAGCUCCUUCAAUGACCUUCCCAUAGAAUUUUACGGGAUACGAAAUAUCAUUCCUGACAAUUUCCCAUGGAUUUCCCAUCUCGAGCCAGUUUUCAGCAACUUCCUCCUGGCCAUCUUUUGUAAUAAGCUGUUUGAAAAGGCCAUAUUGGUAUCUAAGUCCAUAACCCCAUGCAGGGUAGUUUAGCGUCGCCAUUGAGUCAAGAAAGCAAGAAGCAAGUCUUCCUAAGCCUCCAUUCCCUAAAGCUGCAUCUGGUUCCUGCCUGGCUACAUCCUCUAAACUGUAUCCGAGCUUAGUUAAAGCAUCUGCAUAAGGUCCGUUUAGCCCCAAGUUACCAAUAGCAUUGAGUAAAGCUCUUCCCUGAAGAAACUCCAUAGACAAGUAAUAUGCCUGCUUUACAUUCAUCUUUUCGUAGUAUUCAUAUGUGGCAUUCCAACUUAAAAUGAGCAUAUCUCGAACACUCUCUGCAGUUGCAUAGUACGCCUUGGGAAGUUCAAACUUCUCAGGAGAAAAUGAUGGCGUGAACUCUGCGUGAUACUUUAUACUUGAUAAAACAGACGUUGAGUCCGGCUGAUAAACAUCUAAUGUAAAUCCUUCAUCAGAGGAAGAAUCUUUUGUCUUCUGCUUUUGAUCACUAGCAACAUUGCUAACAUAGAAACUUCUUCUUCUUCUUCUUAAAUUGAACAAUAAACUCCUCUUUCUACUCAAAAAAAUAUUUGAGUUUUUGCUUCUGAAAUUGUUAUUAAAACUUGAAAUUGAGUUCAAUCCAGAGACAGCAAAAGUUGCCAUGAUGUCUCUGAACUGA
rnacentral:misc_RNA from 1 species